AGGAAAGUUACAGACUUCGGUGAUGCUCGUGAGGUCUUUAACUUCCUGUUUCUCGUUAAUUACAUGGGCCAAGAAUGAAAUUCACUCCUUUCGCAGGAGCUUUUGAGUUUUGAUGCAAGAAAUGAUAUGAAGAUUGGAACUGAGUUUAUCGCCAUAGAUUAUUAGAGUUUGAUCCAAAGGAAGGUUGAGACGGAUGGCUUUUUCGAAACAGAGGAUAUCAACAUGAUUGGGGCUCAACCAAUCCAUGCCAAUGAUGAUAUCAAAGCUCUUUAUGGAAACUGGCAUCAAAUCAAUGGGAAAUGAAUGGUCAUUCAGGGUAAGGGUACGACCUACGAAUACCUCGCUGGCGCUUUCUUUCUCACCGUUAGCCAUCUCGACAGUAAACGUUUCAGUUAAAGGUUGGGGAUUAUGUUUUAGGUGAUGGUUUUGUUCCUAAGAACAUCCUAUGUGCUCAUACAAACCCUAAUGCUUGGAUCUAGGUUUCUCUAUUGUACAUGCAAGUUAUCCAAGACUAUAAACCCUAAUUCUACGAUUCAACUAAUCAUAUUAACAUGAGAAUAGGUUUAAGAUGUUACCUUGAUUGUUAUGUAGCAAUAACAAUCCCAAAUCUCCUUGUAUUGACUUUAGAAAACUUAGAGUCACAAAUGUCACUCCUCUAAUGGUUCACAAACACCAUAAACAAGAGGAUGAAGAGGAGAGAGGAUGAAGGCUGCCCAAAAACGUCUACAAACCCUAGAGGAGUCUUAGCCACGUUUUUGGUCAUAAGGGAUAUAUAUAGAUAUAGGAGGCUAUUAGGGUUAUCUAACAAGGAAACCCUAAUUUGGAUGCUUAAGCCCUAAGAAACCCAUAGACUCCUUUAAUUAAGGCCUUGGACGAUUUCCUUAUGGGCUUCCCCAUAGAAUUCGCCCACCCCUUAAUACAAGGCAAUCCAUGGCCCAAAUUGCAAUUAUCUUAUAAUUACAAUUCCAGUCCCUUAAGUUUAAUUAGUCUCUUUUAGUCACAAAACUAAUUACCAAUUAAUUAUUGAUUAAUAUUAAUUAAACAAUAUGAUUUCUCCUUUAAUAUAUUAUUCUCAUAAUAUAUUAAUAAAUCAUAUUUAAUCCUUUCUCUCCAUAAUUCAUCCUAUCAAGUUGCUUUGGUGAAGGCAACCCAAAAGGACCAUGCACCAUCGGGUCAAGUACAUACCAAAAUAGUUAUGGACUUAGACACUAAUCCAACAGUCUCCCACUUGGAUAAGUCUAAUAACUAUUCUGCGUAUGACUUCAGAUCCUGAUCUGCAAUCGUAGCUUUCCAAAGCCGCUGUCAACUCUGAUCCUAUCAGAUACGCGUGUCCUUAGAUAAGGGAUCAUAUAUUCCUCCAUUCUAGAUAUCAUAUGAGAUAUGAUUUCAAAUCAUUCUCUUUGUACUAUAUCUCGAUUCCCGAUUUAUGACGACUGACUAAUUGAACAAAUCAAAUUAGCCCUAGCCCGGCCGAGCAUUUACGUUUGUCAUCACUAAAUCAUCGAGGGGCCCAAAGAUAUCGCUUUUAUCCUACUUUGGAUAAAAGGAACGGAUAAACUUUGAUACAAUGCUUGCUUGCACUUACUCACCGAAUCACACACAACAAUAUGUUUUAUAACACCAAGUUACUAGUGCGUUUACAUAUUAUCAAUGUGCAACCGAUUUGCAAGAUACAACUCACACAUCUCGGUUUCAAGAAUAUAAGAUGUUAUCGUCUCACCAAUCACUCGUGAUACAAUUCAUGGAGUGAUCCAAGUGAGCGUGGGUUUAAUCCAAUGCUCAAAUCAUAUUCAUAAGCACUCAUGAACGUUGCAGCAAACAUUUGCUUAUGUCUAAUACUCUUUAGACAAUCCACACACCAAUUCACGACAGUCUUCAUUCAUACCUACUUCCAACAUAUGAACGACUGUGGCCCGUUCGAAUAAUUUGACUGUUCUUAACCAAUUAAAUUAUUCAGGAAGUCAAAACAUGCAAAGUGAAACACAAGAAUAAUACUAAUCCCAUAUGGCCUCAAACCUUUGAGUAUAAAUAAAACACCUUUUAUUUAUCACCAUAUCGAUUACUCAUUAUUUGUCGUUUCGGGUAAUCAACUUCUUACUUGAAUUAUUACACUUGUCCCAUGCUCCUAACAUGCACACAAUGUUUACCUAUGGUUCUUACUUUGUGAAAUAGACCAAAUUGAGCACAUUUCCAAUCAUUCUCAUUUCAAAACUCCAAAUUGUUUUUCACAAGUGAAAGAAUAUCAAAUUCUUGCUACUUAUAAAAUAUGUUGGAUUCUAACAUUCUAUGCAAUGAUCCUUUUGUAAUGUCACUGCNNNNNNNNNNNNNNNNNNNNNNNNNNNNNNNNNNNNNNNNNNNNNNNNNNNNNNNNNNNNNNNNNNNNNNNNNNNNNNNNNNNNNNNNNNNNNNNNNNNNUUCAAUUAGAUCAAGAAUAUAGUCAUAUAUAUCAAAAAAUUGGAUCUAUAUUGAUCUAAUAUGAUAAGGCAAGUAUCUUCAAGCAAAAAUAGCAAGAAAUCCCGGUUUUCCAUCUCAUUGACCAGCCGACUCGUCGAGUCAGGCAUGGACUCGUCGAGUUCAUCUAAAAAACUCGACGAGUUCUGACCCCAGAAGCACAAAAAUUGAAUUUCUUCAACAUACAAAGCAUCAAUACAAUAGAAACCAAUCUAGGAUCUGAUACCACUGAUGGUUUUGUUCCUAAGAACAUCCUAUGUGCUCAUACAAACCCUAAUGCUUGGAUCUAGGUUUCUCUAUUGUACAUGCAAGUUAUCCAAGACUAUAAACCCUAAUUCUAGCAUUCAACUAAUCAUAUUAACAUGAGAAUAGGUUUAAGAUGUUACCUUGUUUGUUAUGUAGCAAUAAGAAUCCCAAAUCUCCUUGUAUUGACUUUAGAAAGCUUAGAGUCACAAAUGUCACUCCUCUAAUGGUUCACAAACACCAUUAGCAAGAGGAUGAAGAGGAGAGAGGAUGGAGGCUGCCCAAAAACGUCUACAAACCCUAGAGGAGUCUUAGCCACGUUUUUGGUCAUAAGGGAUCUAUAUAUAUAGGAGGCUAUUAGGGUUAUCUGACAACGAAACCCUAAUUUGGAUGCUUAAGCCCUAAGCAACCCAUAGACUCCUUUAAUUAAGGCCUUGGACGAUUUCCUUAUGGGAUUCCCCAUAGAAUUCGUCCACCCCUUAAUACAAGGGAAUCCAUGGCCCAAAUUAUAAUUAUCUUAUAAUUACAAUUCCAGUCCCUUAAGUUUAAUUAAUCUCUUUUAGUCACAAAACUAAUUGCCAAUUAAUUAUUGACUAAUAUUAAUUAAACAAUAUGAUUUCUCCUUUAAUAUAUUAUUCUCAUAAUAUAUUAAUAAAUCAUAUUUAAUCCUUUCUCUCCAUAAUUCAUCCUAUCAAGUUGCUUUGGUGAAGGCAACCCAAAAGGACCAUGCACCAUCGGGUCAAGUANGACUUAGACACUAAUCCAACAUUAGGUUAUGUUUGAACGUAUGACUAACAAAACUCUUUUCAGCACCCGAAUCGAAAAGAAUACUAGCAUAUGAGUUGUCGAGAAGGAACGUACCCGAGACUACAGUGGGAUCGGUGACUGCUUCCUCCCAUCCUAUGGCUAGGACUCUCCCGGUAUUAU
rnacentral:lncRNA from 1 species